GACGAACGCUGGCGGCGUGCCUAAUACAUGCAAGUCGAGCGCAGGAAACUGACGGAACUCUUCGGAGGGAAGGCAGUGGAAUGAGCGGCGGACGGGUGAGUAACACGUAAGGAACCUGCCUCAAGGAUUGGGAUAACUCCGAGAAAUCGGUGCUAAUACCGGAUAGUUCAUCGGACCGCAUGGUCCGCUGAUGAAAGGCGCUUCGGCGUCACCUUGAGAUGGCCUUGCGGUGCAUUUGCGAGUUGGUGGGGUAACGGCCCACCAAGGCGACGAUGGAUAGCCGACCUGAGAGGGUGAUCGGCCACACUGGGACUGAGACACGGCCCAGACUCCUACGGGAGGCAGCAGUAGGGAAUCUUCCACAAUGGACGAAAGUCUGAUGGAGCAACGCCGCGUGAGUGAUGAAGGUUUUCGGAUCGUAAAACUCUGUUGUAAGGGAAGAACACGUACGAGAGGAAAUGCUCGUACCUUGACGGUACCUUACGAGAAAGCCACGGCUAACUACGUGCCAGCCGCCGCGGUAAAAC
rnacentral:rRNA from 1 species